GCGGGACCGGGCAGUUGUGGCUCAGAGGGAAGGGAUAAACUCAAAUAGGAGGAUUUUAGGAGAGUAUUUAGCGACAGAGCCUUGUGGUUCAUGUGGGUUGGGAGUCCUGUCCCACAGAGUCACGGAGCACCCACAGCUCCUCCAGGAAAUGCCUUCCAUGCCCCGCCAGCCUCCCGCUGCUCAUUGCACGGAGCGAGAGGGGGCAGAGGGCUGAGGGGCAGCCCUGGGAAGGCGAGGGCUGCGGCACGGAGCCAGGGUUGUUCUGUAAAGCGGGACCCGCACACGGCUUCCCUCCCGCAGCAAGCUCCAGUCCCCACAGAAGGGCCGCUCUCUACCGCUGCCAGGGCUUGGCAAGCAGAGAAACUGCUGGGAAGUACAAAUGCGUUUUGGUUUGAGGUGCUUGCUUCCUCCUGGGCUGGAGAAUGCCAGGCUGGAUUGUGCAUGGGAAGAAGGGGGAAUGCAGACAGAGGCAGGCACAGGGCGUUCUGGUUGGAACAUGAGGACUUUGCCAGAGGUGAAGGCCCUGUAGGACUCUCCCAGCUUCUCAGCCUCAAGCUCUCUCUCUUCCCGAGCUGGGGAAUAGAGUAAAUCUUCAGUUAUGUAAAACUGCAGUGAGCCCCCCAAGAUUCAAGAGUGCUUUUGUUUGACCAAGGAACAAACAAGUCUCGUCAAACAGUUCUAGUUAUUUAGCACAGAUCAUCAUCUAUUUUUAACUACAGUUAAUUAGGCAAAAGGAGAACCUGUGGCUUCCUCUUGGGACUUUGGGGGGAAAAAAAAGUCCAGAAAGGAUCAUCUUCCAGGGCUGCUCCCAGUCCUCAGCUUGUCUUCCAGUUCAGGAGUGGCAAAACUGCAUCACCUUACAACCAGUUGUCAAUAGGUAUCUGUACCAUGUGUUGCUGCCUAUCUGCAUCUCAGAAAUUAAUCCAGAUAGGAUAAUCCAGUUUUUAAUCCUUAUUGAUAAAAUUCAUGUGCCUGCCUUCCAGGUACCUGCUAAAAAUCCCCACAGAGACCAUAGAGCAAUUAGAAGACCUAUUUUAAGGACAGCCAAGCAGCCUUUUGGAAUGGUUUUUGUGACAGUUUUAAUGUCCUUGAUGUUACUGUAUUGUUAAAAAUCCCUUGUUAGUGGGGCAAUAAAGAACAUCCCAGUGAGAAGAGGACUGAACUCAGACCCCACUGGACACAGAGCUUUGCUGUUGAUUGAGGGAGGUGCAUCUCUUUUGGGCAAACAAGGGAUGUUUUCCAUAGUAAGUUGUUUCACUUUUGCAGAAUUGUCAUGAGGGAAAAGCCCUGAGCAGAGGAAGAUGGACGGGAUAGAGCUUGAUCAGGAAAAGGAAUAAAGCAGCCUUGAGAGUGGUGCUCAGAAGGACAGACAGUACCUCAAGCAGUGCUGGGAGUGCCACUGAUCCACAAGGAGGUCACCACAUAGCCACUGUAUAAACAAUUGGUUGCUUAAAAGUCUACCUAAUGUUUUUUUAAAAAUUAUUUUAUAAAGGAGCUCAAGAUGAUUUUGCUCUUUAAUGCCAGACCAUUUUCCAGCAGACUGCAGUACUUGUCAAGAAAAGGAAAAAAGAAAGGUCUGAUUUUAGGCACUCUAACAUGACAAAUCCCAUUAUAUCCUUGCUCUUGAGGGACCCCAAAAUUCCUAACCCCUUUAGGCAUGCAGUGUUCACAUCUGCCCAAGCUGUAUUCCCAUGCAACACUUGGUGAAACACUUUUUUCUGGAAAGUAACAGGAGUUUUCUACCUGCCUGGGCCCCUUCUGAUUCUCACUGUGGGGAAUGUAGAAAUUCAUCUCUAAAAAUGCUUCAGUUUUUUAAUGGCACACUGCUGAGAUCAAAGAGGUUUGAUGUUUUCCUUGGUAGCCUGGUAGCUGAGGAGUGUGUGCCCAGAUAGGAGUGAAAUAUUACAGACUGACCAUGGGUGCUGUGUGUGGUGGUAGAAACUGCUCCUGUUUCUUCUACCUCUCAUACCCAGCAGAGUGCAGCUCUGAAGGAGCAAUGUCCCUGAGUAAUUGGACCCUUAGUCCCCCAAAAUCAAGCAAGAUAGACUAACUAAUUGGUUUUUUGACUUGAUCCAUGGUCAAUCGGAUAUAAAAAGGACUAUAUAAGUUAUUUCUCAGUAUAUUAGUGAUUUAUUCUUAAAAUUACAUUUUGCUCUGGAGAAGAGGAGUCUCAGGGGGAGCAUCUUUGCUGUCUAAAACUCCCUGACAGGAGGUUGUACCCAGGUCAGGGUCAGUCUCUUCUGUCAAAACUCAAGUAAAAGGAUGAGGAAUGGCCUUUAGUUGUGCCAGGGGAAGUUCAGCUUAGAUAUUAGAAAAAGAAAAUGUUCACUGGAAGAGUGGUCAGGCACUGGAAUGAGCUGCCCAGAGAGACAGUGGAGUCUUUGGAAGUGUUCAAGAGGUGCUUGGAUGUGGCACCUGGGGAGAUGGUUUAGGGAUGGUUUUGGAAGUGCUGAGUGAUGGCUGGUCCAGAUGAUCUUGAAGGUCUCCUCCAACCUUGAUGAAUCUUUCAUUCUGUGAUUCUGUAAGUUUUUUAAUUAGGAUUCAUAGUUCGGGGAGGGGAAAAAAGGCCUUUGGUAUGCUUAAGAAGAUAACUGUACAAAGAGGAACUGCAAAUAAUGCAGUGUUCCUGGAAGCUAAACCUAGAACAACUGAACAACUGAGCAGUCAGAAAAUCAAGCCCUCAAAAGUCACUGGAUGUACUGAACACUUGGGCUUUUUACAGUCUUUAUGAUUUCCUCUCAAUAUAAUAAAAAGGACAAUAUUCCUUCGUCACAAGAGCAUAGAGGAUUAAUUCAUUGAAGUUUGUGAAGCAUUUGGGGGGGUAUGAUAAAAACUUCUACUAACACAGAACUAGAUUUCUGCUUUGUAAGGAAUUUCCUGGUUUGGGCUACCUGGUUUUUGUUGGGUUUUUUUAAAUUGUUUGUUUGUUUAUGAGUUUGUGGUUUUGUUGUUUAUGUUUAUUUCUUUUUACUCCUUUGAAACACGCUCUCAUAAAAUAUUUUACCCUUGAGAUCUAUGGGAUAAGGCUUCAUGAAUCACUAGUAUUUAAGAAUUGCUGACCUGAAACACUUGCCAAAAGUCACAAACCACUUAGUACUCUGCAAGUUUGUGAGAUCUUAAGAGUCAAGUAAUAUUUUACCAUUCCUGAAGCUAUUACCCAGCUUUGCAGGAAGAGAGGUAUUUUGAAACCUAAGAUACUAAACGAUGGUACACAAUGAGCUAUUACUGUCAUAAAACUUUAAUAGAAUCCUGUAACCAGCCUCUAUUGCAGGGAUUUGAUGAGUGGCAUUUUAAGUAUAUAUUAUUUCUAUGUCAGUAUCUUUCAUAAGUCACAAGUAAAUACAUUUCACAAGUAAAUACAUGAUUGUGCCAAAGACAGUCCUUGUUCCAAGUAGACCAUCUCAACAGCCAAAGUGGAGGAGAUGAGGAGAAGCUAAAUAAUCUUCCAAAGGGAGGGGAAGCUAAGAGAGAUUAUGUGACCUGGUGAAAGAUUAUACAAGUUGAACAAUCAUUUAUAACACUGUGGCAAGGCUAUCAAGAGACAGUUCCUUAAUUACAUCCAGUGCCAAAAUGCAGCUGGAUGCAGUGGAGUCCUGAUGCCCAGAGAGCAGUGCUGAGUGCCCACGCGUGGUUGGCAACACGAACACGUGCACUUUGUGUCUUGCUUGGAUCUAAGCUAUCAAACCUUCUAAAGUGCUGCUGUAGAACCAGUUCAUGCAACUCCACACUCAGCAGAUUUUCCCUCUGGUCUUAUCCCUGCAGCAGGUCUCCAUCACAGACAAAAAGGGAAAGGAGGGAAGAGGCAAGAAGAACCUGUCAGAAGAACUGAAGGGGAAGCUGGAGCCAGUCCUGGUCAGUCCCCCUUUACAAAGUCCCAUUUUGGGUGACUUGAACUGGCAGGUGAGGACACCUCACUCUGAGGCCUGCACAGAGUGUGGGCUUUGGCAGUUUUCUGGAGGUGUGCCAGUGAAACUGACUCUAACAGAAGGAGAGGAAAAGCAACUCAAAGGGACAAAGCUGCAAAGGAAGUAAUAGGAAAAUAACAUUAUGAGAAGAGGAAAGCAUCUUUGAAAGCUGGCAAGUAGAAAAUUAAUUUCAACCUGAAACUGCCACUUUACCAGGAUGGAAACCAGAGAAGUUCUCUCAGGAAAUAAGCAAAAUGCUCAGAAAUCCAGGUUUCAACAGUGAAGUUCAACGUGAGCUGCAAAUGCCUCAGGGAAAUCUGCAGGCAGAUCAGCAAAUAACGAAUUACAGAAGUGAAGUCAGGAUGUAAUAAAAGCCUCAGUACCCCUUUGAGAUAACAUUUGCUUUUACCUGGAGAGGUUCCUGAGAGGGUUGUGGGAGCUUGAAAGAAAGCACUAGCUCCAAAACUGCAAACCUCAGAAGCAGGAAGAAAAUAAUUGCCUCCCAAAGAAACACGUAGCUAAGAAGAUGCCUCCGCUGGGAGAGGUCAAGUCAGUAACAACCAUGUCUUUAGUCAUCACUGAAAUCCUGAAAUCAGAAAGGCAGUCAUGCAAGACAAAAAAAGAAUGGCUUAAAGGGCUGAAAUAUUUUUUUUCUAUAUUAAAGGUGGGACCAAGCCAUGAAGUACAGCUCUAACUUGAUCUCCAGACCCAAAAUUCACAAAAGAUUCGAUUUGGGUUUUUCUGGGCUGGGCAAAUUCCUCUGGAUCACUCAGAGUUUGGUAAUGUUUAUUUCUUUGGGUUUUUCUAUCUCAGGUUUUGCUCCAGACCCAGACAGGUGUGUAAAAUCCUCUGCAGAACAGAACCAAGAGCAGAUUUGGUGCAAAUGAAUUUUGUGUUGUCAUGCAACAGCUCUGAAGAGCCAGGACACUGUUCCAUUGUCACUGUGCCUGUGCUCAUCCUGCUUUUUGUUGAAUGUGGUGGCACCACACAGUUGCUGCUAGCACUGCAGGUGUACAUUCAUGCACCUGGGAUACCAAUCACAGUGAAGGCCAGUGAGCUUUUGGGGCUGAGGGCAUAGAUGGAAAGCUCUCUCUCCUCACCAAACCAUACAUCCAUCAGCUCAUCUCAUCUUGCUGGGACACAGUUUAUUUGUUGGAGGCUUCACCAUGGGAAGCCACACUAGAGGAUGCCAUGGGGACAGGAGGAGCCUGUCACCAUCUGUCCCCCUCUGCUUCCUCAUGUGGGGACUGGAACCCAUCAGUCAUCCCCACCCAGCACCAUUUUGGGCUCCUGUGAUUCCUCCUGUGUGUUAAAGAAAGGAAGGGAUGCUGCUGAAGCUUUUGUCCAGGCAUACCCAGGCUGUUUGUGUUCUCAGACAAUAAGCUGCAAUAUCCAGAGAUUUAAGUCAAAGGUCAAGGUCCUGUUGUGCAAGGCAGGAUAUUUUUCCCAGAAGUUAGUUCCUGCCCUGAAGAAGCUCCAGAGACAAAAGAAGACUCUGGCCCAGCUGAUGACAGAAGUAGAAGACACUGGGCUUUGAACUGUAACAUCUGUGUGUGCUUCCUGGUUCAAUGUUCAUCUGGAAUGAUCGAGAGGUUACUCGGAGUGGUUUGGCAGGGACUUGCAAGAUCACACUUUUCAGCUCAGACCAGCCUGCAUCAAAGGUAUUUACACGUGCAUGGAUUUAAGUGUAAAGUGUCCAGAGAGAAAAAUGUGCUACUGUUAAAUCCAAAAUUAUCUCCUCUGGCUCAGGGAGUUCCCAGGCCACAAGUGAAGGCAGACUGAGUGUUUAUUCCAAGAAAAUACUGCUAUUUAUUAUUUUUCUGCAUUCAGCAAAUUUUUCCCUAGGUAUCCACUUUUGGCCACAUAUCAGAGGUGAAAUACUGCACCAGAUGGAUCUUGACCUGGUCUCUGUGGCCAGUUUUAUGUUCCUAGGCCUGUGCAGCACUGACUCUUUGUGGCAGUCUAGGUGAUUUCCAGCAGCAUGAGGAGUUCAUGUCAUUGGUCUCCAGGGGGUUGUAAUAGGUACAGAAGGAAAAUAUCACAGAAUAAAUCCUUUAUCUUUCUGGCAAAGCUGAAGGGAGGGCAGCAGUUUGGGAGGUUUAUGGUUACUGCAGGCGCAGUUUUUAAGCAUAGCUUAAAUAGUUGUAUGUGUUAUGCCUCAGCUAAAUCUCUUUUACCACAUCCAAAAAAAAGUUUAGACAACAUAUAAUGUUCUCUGUUCUAAAAGAGUGAGGGAGCACUUCACAGUCUGUCUGCUGGAGGCUGUGCUUUCCUGCCAUUGCUCCAGGGAGAAGUGGUAUUGGACGAGAUUCAUUGUUCCUCCUCUCAGCUUCACUGGCAUCAGCUCAUGAAACAGGAGACAGUGGCCAUGAGUUGUGGCUUGGGAUCCUCAGACUGGACUGUGUGACCUCUUGAGGUCCCUUCCAAACAACAUUUCUGGAGUCUAUAGAAGGCCUACACUCACCUGAAUCAGUAACUCAAGGCAGCUGUUCCAGGGCAUCUCAAAUGGCUUCACACAUUUCUGUGGUGGCAGCUGCAUCGUGUCCCCUUGUCAGCUGAACUGGCUGUUUGACAGUUCCCCAAGCAAGCAGGCGGAUAUGAUCCAACCCUUUGGGACAACCUGGCACAUCUGACCUGCUCUUCAGAUGUCACUUCAGAAGGACCUGUGUCUAUUUUGAUUCUGUGUGCUUUUGAAGGGGCUGAUUCUGCCCCUUCUACUCUGCUUUUGUGAGACCCCACCUGGAGUAUUGCGAGCAGUUCUGGUGCCCCCAACAACAGAAGGAUGUGGAACUGUUGGAAUAAAUCCAGAGGAGGGUCAUGGAGUUGAUAAGAGAACUGGAAAACCUCCCCUGUGAAGGCAGGCUGACAAAGGUGGGGCUGUUCAGCCUGGAGAGGAGAAGGUUGUGUGGACACCUCAGAGCAACCUUCCAGUAUCUAAAGGGAAGUAUCUAUUCUACUGGGAAGCUGGAGAGGGACUCUUGAUCAGGAACUGCAGUGAUACGACAAGGAGUAAUGGGUACAAAUUGAAAGAGGAGAAAUUUAGGUUAGAUAUUAAAUGUGGUUAGACAAUGGAAUGACUGGUUUGCCCAGGGAGGCUGUGGAUGUCCCAGCCCCAGUGUUCAAGGCAGGGUUGGACAAGGCCUUGAGCAGCCUGAUCUAGUGAGGUGUCCCUGCCCAUGGCAGGGGGCCUUGGGACCAGAUGGUCUUUAAGGUCCAUUUCAAACCCUUAUCAUUCCAUGAUCCUAUGAGUAUCUCAUGUGUCCAGAGAUAUCUCCAACGACAGGACACGCUUGUCUUCAGGAAACUGAAUCAAGUCCUGGAUGUCUCCUGGGAUGAACAGAAGCAAUUUUGCUUUUUCAUCUGCAGCACAGAAGGUGUCAGGAUAUCCUCAGUGGCCCGUUCACCUUAAAUAAUCAUUCUCUGCAGGGCUGUGGUUGGUGGCUUUAGCUUGCAGAACCCCAGCACCAGGUCACACAAACACCCAAGUGCUGCAAUGCACAAAUGAUGACCUGGGAUAAAGCCCUGCUGUCAGAUUACAUUUGUUCAACAGCUGCAGCUCCCCAACCAGGGCCACAGGUCAGGCUCAUGUGCACAGCAGCUCAUUAACACAUUGUUUGGGUUUUGCCUCGUUGUUUCUGCUGUCACUCAGUGAGCUGGGUGUAGGUAUUGGUCCUGCUGGCUUUUUGGGGAAAAGCCACCCUUUAGCAGUUCCCAUGGUGGCAGGACAGGGGCUGACACAGCCUGGAUCCCAGUUCCACUGAUGUUUUACCACAGACACCAAAGGGACCCUCAGUGCUGAAAAGCAUUUGUCACAAGGCCAAGCAAAGAAGGAGGAGCCCUAGGGACAGUAAGGUGGUUUCUAAAGUUAAAGUUACUUAAAUCAAUUGUUAUUCAAGUGCAAUUGCUGUAGCUUCCUUGUGGUAUUUCCCAGAAGCCUGAAUACCUUUGCUUUUCUCAGUACAGAUAGUGGAAUAUCUUUAAUAAAAUAUAUUCCUACUGACAUUUCUUUUAAUGCAAUGUUAGAAGUUUCCAGAAAGAUGCUUGAACUAUAGAAAUUUAAGUCAGUAUUACUUAUAUUUAAAACUAAUUCUCUGUUUUGAAUCUGAGCAAUUGAUUGCCCUGAUCUUGGAAUAAAAGUUCCAAAGAGAGCUUCCCACAACAUGACGUGGAAGGAUGGAGAUGUGCUCCACACCCUGGAGAUGGAGGGAGUACUGUAGUAGAGCCAGCCUGUUUCCCUGGAAAUCAAACCACCUGAAACUUGGCUGUGCUAUCAGAACACUGCAGCCACUGCCAAGGUCCUCUCUGCAUAUUUAAAUUUACACCAACUCUGUGUUGUGACAAAGUGCCAAGCACUGAUGGGAACCUUCUGUCUCUAGGAAGAAUUUUGGACACAUAAUAACAACAAAGGAUUAAUAUAGCUUUGCUUGAAAGCAGAAUUUAAAUGAGGUUAUUUGGGAAAAAGCAAUCUUAUUUCUUUGGAAUACUAUUUCAUAAUAUGAAGAUAUAAUGAAUUAACAUUUAUCUGGAAAAUGCUUUUUUUUUUGAUUUCACAACUACUUUUUUUUAACAAGAAAAACAACAACAGUAAUAGUGAUAGUAAUAAUAAUAGCAAUAAACCAAACUUAAUUCUGAAUAAACUGAAAAUGGGGAAAAACUCA